GCGGAAUAGCUCAGUUGGUAGAGCAGAGGACUGAAAAUCCUCGUGUCACC
rnacentral:tRNA from 1 species